UACGUAGGGUGCAAGCGUUAAUCGGAAUUAUUGGGCGUAAAGGGUGCGCAGGCGGAUGUAUAAGUCAGAUGUGAAAUCCCCGGGCUUAACCUGGGAAUUGCGUUUGAAACUAUAUGACUAGAGUGUGGUAGAGGGGAGUGGAAUUCCAUGUGUAGCAGUGAAAUGCGUAGAGAUGUGGAAGAACACCGAUGGCGAAGGCAGCUCCCUGGAUUAACACUGACGCUCAUGCACGAAAGCGUGGGGAGCAAACAGG
rnacentral:rRNA from 1 species